UUAUGUGGCGACCUCCAGUUGGUCCUAGGUGUUUCUUGAAGCUUGUGGCAGGGAGGCAACAAGAUGGGGAAAGCAAGCAAGAAAGAAAGACUCUUCAAGUCCUAAACUCUAUUUAAUCGUGUGCCCAUUAAAGAAUUUCAUGGUGGAUUUGCUGUACCCUAAGUUGUAUAUUUGGGUUGGUUCUUGGGGAGAAAGCAAAGCAAACGUGAAAUACUCUCGUCGUCCCUGUCCAUAUCCUGAUCCUGUUGAAGAUUUCAGCUUUGUUGGCCGGCGAAGGAGGAGGGGAAAGAGGGAAGAAGGGUUAGGCGGCGAAGGAGGACUGGCGCUAAUCGGAGGCUGCUUCGGUUUUUGCUUGCUGAAGGCAUCGGCAAGAUAAGAGGCUGGAAGUUGCAAGGAAGGUGUUUGUGGAAUUGCCUCCUCGGCAGCAGCUGUGGAGUGAGGGAACGAAGGAUGACGAUGCC